rnacentral:rRNA from 1 species
UGGGGAAUUUUGGACAAUGGGCGAAAGCCUGAUCCAGCCAUGCCGCGUGAGUGAAGAAGGCCUUCGGGUUGUAAAGCUCUUUCGCAAGGAAAGAAAACUUAUCUAUUAAUACUAGGUGAGGUUGACGGUACCUUGAUAAGAAGCACCGGCUACCUACGUGCCAGCAGCCGCGGUAAUACGUAGGGUGCGAGCGUUAAUCGGAAUUACUGGGCGUAAAGCGUGCGCAGGCGGUUUUGUAAGUCAGAUGUGAAAUCCCCGGGCUCAACCUGGGAACUGCGUUUGAAACUACAAGGCUAGAGUGUAGAAGAGGGGGGUAGAAUUCCACGUGUAGCAGUGAAAUGCGUAGAGAUGUGGAGGAAUACCGAUGGCGAAGGCAGCCCCCUGGGCUAACACUGACGCUCAUGCACGAAAGCGUGGGGAGCAAA